GGAAUAAAAAUAAAUGAUAUAUACCUCGAUUAAUAUGCAACUGCUAUAUCUUACAACAUUUCUACUUCUUUAAGUACUAUGACUUUUAAUUUGAAGUACUGAAAAUAUACCCUCAAAAGGGAUUACUAUUUAAGUACAGCACAAUUUAUACUAUACAACAAAAUUUCCUUGAAAAAAACAAAGACCUCACUAGACCCAUUUGUAAUUUAAGAGAAGAUUUUUUAUGGAUAAAAGUAACAGAUGUCAACAAAGAAUUAACAACAUGCAAACAUCAUAAACAAGGAAGCUUAAACUUACUAAUUAUAUUCUUACAACUUACAAAUCAACUUUAAAUUCAUCUAUUACACUAAAUAAGACCAUUCACAUAUUUCAUAUCACUCAAUGAAAGGACAAGGUUCACCUAUGGCACAAAAUGGCCUUAAAUAUCUACUUAAUCAGAAAACACCAAAAAGGUCACAAUUUAUUUCGUAAAUGGGUCUAUUUCAAAAGUCUUAUUGAGAAAUACAUCAGUUCUUUUCAUAAAAGUACAUAAUAUUCUCAAAGUAAGCCCGUUUUUGGACAUUUUGUCAAAAUAUGACGAUUUUGUGCAAUUUUCAGACCUAAAAGCUGCCACCUAUGAUCCAAAAUGUGCUGUGACCAAAAUAUUCCAAUUUUGAUACAGAAUUCAUCAAUACAAAAACGUUUUGGAUCGUGGAUGGUGGCAAAGGUUAAUCAUGCAAAUAACAAUUAUAAUCAUGCCAAAAAAGUACCAAAACUGACCUUAAAAUACAAAUAAUGUUGAAUUAAGGGUUCAUAGCUUCAUAAAUUGUAAAGGAAAGUGCAGGAAAAAUAUAUUUUUGGCUUAAUAGUAUUAUAACAAGUAUUUCUAUGUGAAAUUUGUAAUUUUUUGGGCAGAUUUAAAAAACAUAAAAAAUUAAGGGCCAAUUUCAACCCAUCGUGAACCUUCUCCUUUAUUUCAAAAUGUAUGCUAACAAGCAUUUUUUUAUUUUCAUUUAUCCAUCUGUAAUCUUAAAUCUGCCACAUAAGGCAUUUCCAAAACAUUGUGCUUAUAAGGAGCACAUCUAUCAGAUUAUCUAUAAAGACAUUA
rnacentral:lncRNA from 1 species